CGAAGGGUGCAAGCGUUACUCGGAAUUACUGGGCGUAAAGCGUGCGUAGGUGGUUCGUUAAGUCCGAUGUGAAAGCCCUGGGCUCAACCUGGGAAUGGCAUUGGAUACUGGCGGGCUAGAGUGCGGUAGAGGGCAGUGGAAUUCCCGGUGUAGCAGUGAAAUGCGUAGAGAUCGGGAGGAACAUCUGUGGCGAAGGCGACUGCCUGGACCAGCACUGACACUGAGGCACGAAAGCGUGGGAAGCAAACAGGAUU
rnacentral:rRNA from 1 species